UUGGUCCCACUUUGCAGGAUCAGAUGGAUAGCUUGUCAAUACCCUUACCGGGUCUAGAGGCUCCGUCAAAAUGAUAUUGGGCUCACUUUUUCUGGCCGGCUGCUGUUCUUCCAUCAUUUUGUCAUUCUGUGACGGCGCUGAUGUUGACGGUGCCACAGCGUCUUCCGCCGCGUUCACAGCUGUCGGACGGCUGCCCCACAGAAACUUCUGUAAAGCCCCCCGCUGUUUCUUCUUUUGUUCCUCUUCAUUUUUUUUCUUUUUACGUUUUGCCGCACCCGAAAGCAUCUUGAAUGUUAGCCUACUCAAGAAAC